ensembl:lncRNA
AACUGAAAUCAUAAGACUCCAUGAAAUCAUAGGGGAAAAUUCCUUGACAUUUAUCUUGGCAGUGAUUUUUUGGAUAUGACACCAAAAACUCAAGCAACAAAAGCAAAAUUAAACAAGUUAAGGCUAUAUAAAUCUAAAAAGCUUCUGUAUAGCAAAAAGAACCAAUAAGCAACCUACUGAAUGGGAGAAAAUAUUUACAAAACAUUUAUCAGGUAAGGGGUUAAUAUUCAAACUACAUAAGGAAUUCAUUUAACGCUACAGAAAGAAAAAUAAAAUACAUCUGAUUGAAAAAAUGGGCAGAGGAGAUAAACAUUUUGCCAAAGGAGAUGUAGAAGUGUCCGACAGGUACAUGGAAUUAUGUUCAAUAUCACUAAUCAUCGGGGAAAUGCAAGCCAAAACCACAGUGAGAGAUCACUUUGUGCCUGUUAGAGUGCUGUUAUAAAAAGCAGAGAUAAUAAGUGUCAUUGAGAAAGGAGAACUCCUGUACACUGUUGGUGGGAAUGUAAAUUGGCACAACCACUCUGGAAAAAGUGAAGACAUUCCUCAAAAAAUUAAAAAUGGAAUUAUCAUAUGAUUGUUCAAUCCCACAUCUGGCUAUAUGCCUGAGGGAAAUGAAAUCAAUAUCUUGAAGAGAUUCUGCACUCCCAUGUUCAUUGUAGCGUUAUUCACAAGAGCCAAGUCAUAGAAACAACCUAAAUGUCCAGUGAGGGAUGAAAAAAUAAAGAAAAUAUUGUAUAUACAUUAUACAUAUUAUCCACAUAAUAAAGAUAUAUGUUUAUGUUUGCAUGUAAACACAUAUAACAUAUAUAUGUAACAAACAUAUGUAAACAUAUAUAACCUUGUAUAUGAGCAUUCCAGUAUACAAGUGUAGAAUUCUUUUCAUUUUACUUGUACACAAAUAUUCAUAUUUCAACACAUAAAUAUCUAUUUAUUUCAACUUUUUAAUUUAAUUUUUAAAAGCUCCAUGAUGAUCAUGACUUUUUUUCACUUUUAAAUUAGGAAAAUUUUAAAAUCACUCAUCAAAAUUAAUUCUCCUGUGUUUUAAAUAUAACAAGAGUAAUAAUACCUGAUUCGAAUUUCAAAGUGUCUGAAUGAGAUUACAGGCAGAUGCUUGAGAAUCUCCUUAGAACUAUUCAUUAUCGAACCCCUAGCAACUACUCCUUAAAAGAACAGAGGUGAUAUAUAGACUUGCUGUGGCUAAUUCAAUGGUGACAGUUUGAGGUCACUCAGGCAUGGGGAAAUCUGAAAAGAAGAGGUUAGAUGAAAAGUAAGAAGUAUUAUUGGGUUAUUACCUUGACUAUUUUCUAUACUGCUAAUACAAGUCCUUCCCUUUUAUUAGAAGGCCAACAGUUAAAGUGAAACAACCAAUUCACAAGAAGAAACUAAUUCACCAAUAUAAUAGAAUGAAAUUGAUUUGUGAGAUAGGAAAACUCUGUGGUUUGUGAAAUGGAUGUUAUUAAAUUCCACAAAGGGUGAAUUUUUUAGAGUAUGCCCUUAAAGUAGCGCCCCAGUGUUUGAAGGUUAUCUAGUUUUCUCUUCUCCCUUUUCUUUGCCCCGCCAUUCAAAACAACUGAAAAAUCACUCAAUAUUAAAUGCAUACAGAUCUUUUAUAGAUGAGGAUGAAAAUAGUUUUCUUUUUCUCAGUAGUGCCAAUAGUUGUUAUAUAUUUGAAUACUUUUUUAGAUACCAUAAAACUAAGUAUGGAGUUUUGCUGUAAAGUUUUUUAUGUUAUACAUGUUUACUGCAAUAUUAAAUAAUUCAGAGGUACAUGAUAAGAUAAUUAUUGUCUACCCUCUCUCCCUCAAAAUUUGCAAUAAUGUAUUCUUUUUUUUUUUGUCUUUUUAGGGCCACAUCCACUACAUAUGGAAGUUCCCAGGCUAGGAAUCUAAUUGGAGCUGUAGCCACCAGCCUACACCAUAGCUACAGCAAUGCCAGAUCCAAGCCACAUCUGCGAGCUACACCACAACUUAUGGCAACGCUGGAUCCUUAACCUACUGAGCGAGGCCAGGGAUCAAACCCGCAACCUCACGGUUCCUAGUUGGAUUCACUUCUGCUGUGCCACGACGGGAACUCUGUGAUAAUGUUUUAGUGUACAUCUAACCCUUUUACUCUGAUCUUGAACUGAAAAAUAAGGGUAUAAGUUUAUCUUUUUUCUUUAUUUUUUUUAGAAUAAAAUUGGAACCUUACUCUACAUAAUUUUUUUUACCCUUUUCAUUAAUAAAAUGACAUGGACAUCCUUUCAUUAGUUGUACCUAAUAUGUAAUAUUUAUUGUUUUUAACACUUAGGUAGAAUCAUAAUUUUACUUCACUAUCCAUUUAUUGAUAGAUGUACUGGUUGUAUUUUGUUUUCUUGCUACUUCAAACAAUGCUCCACCAAAAAUUUUUCUACUAAAGACACAUAUUUUCAGAUGUGCUAAAUAGGGUUCCAGAUUAUAAGAAGCUAACUGUGCUAAAUUUUAUCUGAAUGGUAUAAUUUUUAAUUUUUACUUUUUGUUAAGCAAAUUCAUUGUGAUUUUGAGAGUGGGAAGGAGAGUAAACGUGGGUAAAUAGAAACUUUUCAGAGACUUAAAGCUUUAGUGGUAGAUAGUGGUUAAUGUACUAACAGGCACAAUCAUUGUUUUAAUUGGGUUUCUGAUUAGUUUGCUGUCCUUUGUGACUGUUGUUAAAGGAAAUCCUGUAGCGCUAACAGAAGUUUUUAACAAGAAAUAAAGACAAUAUAAAAAAAAAGGGUGAGAUGCCAUCCCUCAUCUUGUACCAAUUGCUACAUCAUUUUAAGAAGGAUGUUUUGGAAAAAUGAAUGUCCACAUUUUAUUGGAAAAAUAUAAAAUUUUGUUUAUAAGACUCACUGUAUGUAUGGAUAUCAAUAAAGCAAAGGUAAAAGAUAGUUGUAGUUUGCUGAAAACAAACCACAUCUGCAUUUCAGGAGAUUUCCUGGUUUCAACAGUAUUCCUUGGAUUUAGAAAGAAGAUUAUAGGUGAGAGUGUACAAAAACUGUAUUUCAUUACUUUUACACUAUUUGAAUUCUAGUGCCCAUAAUUGACGUAAUCAAGCUCUUCAGGUCAUCACAUAAUAUCAUCAUUGCUUAACUGAGGGCAUCUUAUUUAAUUUUAAUCAUUCUUCCUCAACUUUAUUCGUCAAUUGCUUUUAUUGCUCUUCUGAAUGAAGUUAGAGAUGAAUAUCAUAUUGUAUAAAUUAUAUUUAGUGUAACAUACAAAUUACAAUUUGUAAUAAAUAUGUGUAUAUUAGAAAAGGCAAGCAUCAAUUUUUUCCAUUUUACUAUAUUAACUUUAUUCAUAUAAAUUUAUUAAUUUUUCACAUCUUUAUCCUUUCCUUUUGCCUUCCUGUCUGACACUCAGUUCUGCACUUCAUUUUUUGGUUCCUCUUUGCCUGUAUCUAUGCAAUUGUACUUUUCAUAUGCAGUAUUUCUAACUGAUUUUUCUUUAUGACUACCUGCCGCAAUGUUUUUUUGCUAAUACCUUCGGCUAUAUUUCUGAAAUAUAUAUUUUGUUUAUUUAACAUUUAAAAAUCUUUGAUCCAGUAAUUUGGAUUAUCAAUGUUAUAGCUUUUAAUAUUACUUUUAUAAGCACUGAUCUACUCAGAUAUUACUUUGCGACUCCAUAUUCCUAGGAAUUUAAUGUUGAACUAAGUUGAUGGUCAGAAGCCCAAGAUGGUGCUCGCUGUGGUAAGUUUAGGAGGGAGAGACUAUUGACACUCAGCACCAUACCUUUGGUUUUAUGACAACUCAUUGUUAGCAAUGAGUUCUCAGUGGACAGCCUUACCCUUACUGGAAACUUCCUUUACCUGAACUACUGCCAUUAUCUUUUGCAAGUGGAGUCUUCCUUGGUUAUAAUGAACAAAGUUUGGCUACUGCAGGGGCGAGGUAGGAAGAAACCGCAGAGGCUCAUUUUUGAACCCACUCUUACUUAUCUCUAUCAGAAGGCAUUCCAGCAGCACAUAGUUUUACUCAGUUGACAGAGAUGACAUGGCCCUGCAAUUUUUCAGACUCACAGUGUCAUGGGACUGACAAGAAUCACCUGCAAAUUUUUAGAUGGAGGAAAAGAAAAUAUAUGCAUUCAUUUCUUUUACCCACUCUAAUGCACAUGGAGUUUUCUGCAUUAAAGUGUAAUGUGCUGUCUCCACAAAACUCAACCAGGAUCUGUGAAUUUCUCCUAGUUUUUAUGGAAGUUUCUCAGAUUUAUCAUAUUCUCUCUCAUGCCUGUGGGUUGUUAGGUGAUGAAUCCACAUCCUGUUUUAGCUGCCAUUUCAUCUGGACUGUCUCCUUUCACUGUGAUGGUGUUAAUGUUCAUUGAUAAAAUCAACUCUGAAUUUCCUAAACAUUAGUAGAAAAUACUGACCAAAUGUACAAAAUGUCAUAUUUGCUAGGUGUAGUUAAUUCUGUAAUAUUAAUACCUACUUUAGGUUGGCAUAAUACAUAGUGAUUACUGUAAUUAGACAUAGCAAGUCCAUAUUUUCACCGUACCAGGAAACCAACACUGCAGAUUAAGUGUUCAGUCUUUAGCAUCACUCUGAGAAGGAUUUCGACAAAAGAAAAUUUAUGUAAGAGAUGGCAACCAGAAUGAUGACAAAAGAAAAUUAUGCAGAGAUGGCAACUGUAAUGAUAAAUGACAAAAAACUCUGACAUAUAUGUAAGAGUUAAAAGUUAACCAUUCUGGAGUUCCCAUCAUGGUACAGCAGAAACGAAUCUGACCAGGAAUGAUGAGGUUGUGGGUUUGAUCCCUGGCCUCGCCCAGUGGGUUAAGGAUCCAGCAUUGCUGUGAGUGGUGGUGUAGGUCGCAGACGAGGCUUGGAUCUGGCAUUGCUGUGGCUGUGGCGUAGGCCAGCAGCUACAGCUCCAAUUAGACCCCUAGCCUGGGAACUUACCUAUGCUGUGGGUGUGGCCCUAAAAGGACAUAAGACAAAAAAAGAAGAAAAAAAA